rnacentral:rRNA from 1 species
GAUGAACGCUAGCGGGAGGCCUAAUACAUGCAAGUCGAGCGGUAGAAUGACUUCGGUUGUUUGAGAGCGGCGAACGGGUGAGUAACGCGUACACAAUCUACCUUUAAGAGGGGAAUAGCCCUGGGAAACUGGGAUUAAUGCCCCAUGGCAUCACGGGAUGGCAUCGUUUUGUGAUUAAAGCUGAGGUGCUUAAAGAUGAGUGUGCGUCUGAUUAGCUAGUUGGUACGGUAACGGCGUACCAAGGCGACGAUCAGUAGGGGGCGUGAGAGCGUGGACCCCCCANACGGGUACUGAGACACGGACCCGACUCCUACGGGAGGCAGCAGUAAGGAAUAUUGGUCAAUGGAGGAAACUCUGAACCAGCCAUCCCGCGUGCAGGAAGAAUGCCCUAUGGGUUGUAAACCGCUGUCAGAGGGAUGAAUCGUCGGGGUACUCCCCCGAUGUUGACAGAGCCUACAAAGGAAGCGACGGGCUAAGUACGUGCCAGCAGCCG